GUGGUGUCGUUGUUCUCCUCUUAUAUUUAAUGCGUUUCCCUCGGUUUUAGUUUAUUACCCCGAUUUUGUUUUUUGUCCAUGGAUUUAUGAGUUUUGAACAGCGGUAUACUACUGUUGCCUUUAUUUCUGUCCAGGGUCAGUGGUUUUACAUUAUAAAAACUGGCAGAUAUGAUAUAAUUAAUAAUGCUUAAAGUGGCAUUAAACACCCUAAAUCAAUCAAUCAAUCAGUCUACUGGAAGGCUCUUUAUGUCUAAAGUUUAUUUCUGGUCAGCCUUUUUAAAAUGAAAAGAAAAGGGAGAGAGGGGGGGGGAUUGUAUGUGGAAGAUUCACUUUUGGACAUGGUUGUGCCAAUGAGGAUCUAUGUCUGUCUGGUUUUCAUGUCUAUUUCAUUUAUGCAAAAUAAACAGCUGUAUAUACAAAGAGCAUAUAAUACAAACGUUUUACAGUUCAAUGUUAGAUAGUAGCUACCAUUAAACUAAAAUAAAAAUAUAUGAAGCAAAUACAAAAUAAAUAUAUAUGUAGCAUAAAUUAUAACAAUAUCUAUAUUUGAUGAAUAUUUACAGGUUAAAAAAUAAUAUACAUAAAAACAAUCACAGCUUAUGCAAUAAAUGCCAUACAUAUAUUUGACGUGGUUAAUUAUAUAGAAAACAUGUCAAAACAUAAUGUCGAAUUCAUCAAAAAACUAGUUCCAUGAACCAUUUACUGUGGACAUGGUGGAUUCAAUAUUAUUUGUUGGAUAUAUAAAAAAAGAAGAUGUGGUAUGAUUGCCAAUGAGACAACUAUCCACAAAAGACCAAAAUUACACAGACAUUACUAGCUAUAGGUCACUGUACGGCCUUCAACAUUGAGCAAAGGCCAUACCCCAUAGUGAGCUAUAAAAGGCCCUGAUAAGACAAUGGUUUUCUUGGGUACUGGUGAACAACAGAUUCAAAUGUUCAAUGAAUUACAUAUUUUAUAAAGGAAAGGCAAAAUAACAAAAUCAAAUUACCAUGAAAAAUUGAUACCCACAUAAAAGAUAAAUGAAUUUUCAGUAAACUUGAACCCAAAAGAUUAUUGUUAUCUCAACUAAUAUAGAUCACAAAACCAUAUUUAUUGCUCUUUUCUCUAGCCUUUAAAGUGGUAUGAUCUAUGACCUUGACAGGAAUAUAAACAGAGAAUGUGUCCUUGGGACACAGAUGAUUCCCUGCUUGUACAUAAUGUUACAAAGGGACAUAACAAGAGAACUUUGAACUUGAUUUGUGUUUUUUAGUAAUAAGCAUUGUAUAUAAGUUUCAUAACAUUUGGUUGCAGUAAACUAAAGUUAGAGAAUGGAAAUAAAUGGACUAUGACAGUAUAAUUGGAAAAAAAUUCAAGUCCUGUCAAUUCAGAAAUUAUUGCGAUGUUUUAAUUAUUACGAAAAAUGUGACAGGGUUAUAGGUAGCAACUAGAUAUCAUUGAGAUGGGAGCCAUCUCUGUGGGCCCCGCUGUGAAUAAUGUGCAUUCAAAAAUUGUAUCUUUACCAUAGGACAUGGGUUUGUCAACUGAAAUCAAAGUUUUUGACCUUGACCUUUGACCUAUGAAGUUGUAAAUAAAUUAUGACACACCCUUUGGUGUUGGUUUAUAAACAUGUCAAGUAUAAGCUUUAAAUGAGUAAAGGUUCUCUAGA
rnacentral:lncRNA from 1 species